rnacentral:rRNA from 1 species
GACUCCGUGGCUCGAGGACGAACGCUGGGCGGCGUGCCUAACACAUGCAAGUCGAACGAGAAUCGCUUGAACAGAGGCUUCGGCCGACGGGAAGGUGAGGAAAGUGGCGAACGGGUGAGUAACGCGUGAGGAACCUGCCUCUCAGUGGGGGACAACAGUUGGAAAACGACUGCUAAUACCGCAUAACACUUUAGUACCGCAUGGUACAGAAGUCAAAGCUUUAUGUGCUGAGAGAUGGUCUCGCGUCUGAUUAGCUAGAUGGCGGGGUAACGGCCCACCAUGGCGACGAUCAGUAGCCGGUCUGAGAGGAUGAACGGCCACAUUGGGACUGAGAUACGGCCCAGACUCCUACGGGAGGCAGCAGGUGGGGAAUAUUGGGCAAUGGGGGAAACCCUGACCCAGCAACGCCGCGUGAAGGAAGAAGGCCUUCGGGUUGUAAACUUCUUUUACCAGGGACGAAGAACGUGACGGUACCUGGAGAAAAAGCAACGGCUAACUACGUG